rnacentral:rRNA from 1 species
AGAGUUUGAUCAUGGCUCAGAACGUACGCUGGCGGCACGCCUAACACAUGCAAGUCGAACGAAGUAGCAAUACUUAGUGGCAGACGGGUGAGUAACAUGUAGGUAUCUGCCCUUUGGCCUGGAAUAACACGAGGAAACUUGUGCUAAUACCGGAUAAGUCUUUACGGAGAAAGCUUUAUGCACCAUUGGAUGAGCCUGCACUUGAUUAGUUUGUUGGUGGGGUAAUGGCCUACCAAGACUGUGAUCAAUAGCUGAUUUGAGAGGAUGAUCAGCCACAUUGGGAAUGAGACACGGCCCAAACUCCUACGGGAGGCAGCAGUGGGGAAUCUUGCACAAUGGAGGAAACUCUGAUGCAGCGAUGCCGCGUGAGUGAAGAAGGCCUUUGGGUUGUAAAGCUCUUUCGUCGGGGAAGAAAAUGACUGUACCCGAAUAAGAAGGUCCGGCUAACUUCGUGCCAGCAGCCGCGGUAAUACGAAGGGACCUAGCGUAGUUCGGAAUUACUGGGCUUAAAGAGUUCGUAGGUUGUUGAAAAAGUUAGUGGUGAAAUCCCAGAGCUUAACUCUGGAACUGCCAUUAAAACUUUUCAGCUAGAGUAUGAUAGAGGAAAGCAGAAUUUCUAGUGUAGAGGUGAAAUUCGUAGAUAUUAGAAAGAAUACCAAUUGCGAAGGCAGCUUUCUGGAUCAUUACUGACACUGAGGAACGAAAGCAUGGGUAGCGAAGAGGAUUAGAUACCCUCGUAGUCCAUGCCGUAAACGAUGUGUGUUAGACGUUGGAAAUUUAUUUUCAGUGUCGCAGGGAAACCGAUAAACACACCGCCUGGGGAGUACGACCGCAAGGUUAAAACUCAAAUGAAUUGACGGGGACCCGCACAAGUAGUGGAGCA